rnacentral:rRNA from 1 species
CAAGUCGAACGGACAGAGGGAGUAAUCCUUCUGUCAGUGGCGAACGGUCGCGUAACACGUAGGCAACCUGCCCUGAAGUGGGGGACAACAGACCGAAAGGUCUGCUAAUACCGCAUGUGGCCCAUUGGUGGCAUCACCUUUGGUCUAAAGCUUAAUGCGCUUCAGGAUGGGCUUGCGGCCUAUCAGGUAGUUGGUGGGGUAAUGGCCUACCAAGCCGACGACGGGUAGCUGGUCUGAGAGGACGAUCAGCCGGAUUGGGACUGAGAUACGGCCCAGACUCCUACGGGGGGCAGCAAUUAGGAAUCUUGCGCAAUGGGGGCAACCCUGACGCAGCGACGCCGCGUGCGGGACGAAGGCAUUCGUGUCGUAAACCGCUUUUUUGGGGGAAGAAGGAUGUGACGGUACCCCAAGAAUAAGCCCCGGCUAACUACGUGCCAGCAGCCGCGGUAAUACGUAGGGGGCGAGCGUUGUCCGAAGUUACUGGGCGUAAAGCGCGCGUAGGCGGUCUUUUAAGUCUGGGGUGAAAGGUUCAACGCUCAACGUGAACAGUGCCUUGGAUACUGGGAGACUUGAGUCUGGGAGAGGGUAGUGGAAUUCCUGGUGUAGCGGUGAAAUGCGUAGAUAUCAGGAGGAACACCGGUGGCGAAGGCGGCUACCUGGCCUAAGACUGACGCUGAGGCGCGAAAGCGUGGGGAGCGAACGGGAUUAGAUACCCCGGUAGUCCACGCCGUAAACGAUGAGUGCUAGGUGUUCGGGGUAUCGACCCCCCGGGUGCCGUCGCAAACGCAGUAAGCACUCCGCCUGGGGAGUAC